UUACGGCCAUAUCACGUUGAAACCGGUUCUCGUCAGAAGUUAAGCAACGUUGAUCCUGGUCAGUACCUAGAUGGGGGACCGCUUGGGAAUAUCAGGUACUGUAA